rnacentral:rRNA from 1 species
GAUGAACGCUAGCGGCGGGCUUAACACAUGCAAGUCGAGGGGUAUAGGUUUUCGGACCUAGAGACCGGCGCACGGGUGCGUAACGCGUAUGCAAUCUACCUUUUACAGAGGGAUAGCCCAGAGAAAUUUGGAUUAAUACCUCAUAGUAUUAUAGAGUGGCAUCACUUUAUAAUUAAAGUUCCAACGGUAAAAGAUGAGCAUGCGUCCCAUUAGCUAGAAGGUAAGGUAACGGCUUACCAUGGCGACGAUGGGUAGGGGUCCUGAGAGGGGGAUCCCCCACACGGGAACUGAGACACGGACCAGACUCCUACGGGAGGCAGCAGUGAGGAAUAUUGGUCAAUGGGCGCAAGCCUGAACCAGCCAUGCCGCGUGCAGGAUGACGGUCCUAUGGAUUGUAAACUGCUUUUGUACAGGAAGAAACACUGGUUCGUGAACCAGCUUGACGGUACUGUAAGAAUAAGGAUCGGCUAACUCCGUGCCUGCCGCCGCGGUAAUAC